UCUCCCAAACUUCGCUUUCAUACGUAUAAUAUCUAUAUCUGUGAGAAAUGGUCGUAGUUUUUGCCAAACUUUUGUCAUUUAAUUGCAUCGUGUUCUCGGUGUGUUUAUGAAAUAUUUGUGUGUCAGUUACAGUUGCCACUGCAGCCUUUUCUUUCGGUGCAUAUGUGUCAGCGAUUUUAAUAAAUGGUAUAGCGUAGUGCCAACUAAAUUGAAAUCUCUGGAGCAUUUUGUGGCGCAGAGCACACAGUCGAUGAGACGCAGUUGGAAAUUUGCUAUUUUUCAUUUUAGUGAAGUGAUGCAAAUGGUUUUUGCCUUUUUAAUUUGUUGAUUGUCAGCAAAUGCAGCAACACACACAGCUAGAUAGAAGGGGCGUGUAAUUGACUUUAGAUAUGGCCAGGUUAAGCAGGCAGACCAAAUUUCCAUCAUUUCAUUGGAAAUGUUACAAAGAGAGACGAAAUGGAAAGAAGAAUUGAUCAGGAAGUAACAAGUGUGAAGUGGGGAAGAAAAAUUUAAGCUAUUAAUGCAUG